rnacentral:tRNA from 1 species
GGUUAAGUGACUAAGCGUACACGGUGGAUGCCUUGGCAGUCAGAGGCGAUGAAAGACGUAGUAACUUGCGAUAAGCCCAGAUUAGGUAGUAACAACCAUUUGAGUCUGGGAUUUCUGAAUGGGGAAACCCACGUGCAUAAGCACGUAUCCUUACCUGAAUACAUAGGGUAAGGAGGCGAACCGGGGGAACUGAAACAUCUAAGUACCCCGAGGAAAAGAAAUCAACCGAGAUUCCGAAAGUAGCGGCGAGCGAAAUUGGACUAGCCCUUAAGCUUUACACGCGUUAGACGAACGGUCUGGAAAGUCCGACGAUACAGGGUGAUAGUCCCGUAGUUGACGACGUGUGUUCAGUGAAAUCGAGUAGGGCGGGACACGUGAUAUCCUGUCUGAAUAUGGGGGGACCAUCCUCCAAGGCUAAAUACUACUGACUGACCGAUAGUGAACCAGUACCGUGAGGGAAAGGCGAAAAGAACCCCUGUGAGGGGAGUGAAAUAGAACCUGAAACCGUGUACGUACAAGCAGUAGGAGCAGGCUUUGUCCUGUGACUGCGUACCUUUUGUAUAAUGGGUCAGCGACUUAUAUUCAGUGGCAAGGUUAACCAUCUAGGGGAGCCGUAGGGAAACCGAGUCUUAACUGGGCGUUCAGUCUCUGGAUAUAGACCCGAAACCAGGUGAUCUAGCCAUGGGCAGGUUGAAGGUUGAGUAACAUCAACUGGAGGACCGAACCGACUAAUGUUGAAAAAUUAGCGGAUGACUUGUGGCUAGGGGUGAAAGGCCAAUCAAACCUGGAGAUAGCUGGUUCUCCCCGAAAGCUAUUUAGGUAGCGCCUCGGACGAAUACUACUGGGGGUAGAGCACUGUUAAGGCUAGGGGGUCAUCCCGACUUACCAACCCUUUGCAAACUCCGAAUACCAGUAAGUACUAUCCGGGAGACACACGGCGGGUGCUAACGUCCGUCGUGGAGAGGGAAACAACCCAGACCGCCAGCUAAGGUCCCAAAUUACUACUAAGUGGGAAACGAUGUGGGAAGGCUCAGACAGCCAGGAUGUUGGCUUAGAAGCAGCCAUCAUUUAAAGAAAGCGUAAUAGCUCACUGGUCGAGUCGGCCUGCGCGGAAGAUGUAACGGGGCUAAGUAGUAAACCGAAGCUGCGGCAAUACUCUUUGAGUAUUGGGUAGGGGAGCGUUCUGUAAGCGGUUGAAGGUGUGUGGUAACGCAUGCUGGACGUAUCAGAAGUGCGAAUGCUGACAUGAGUAACGAUAAAGGGGGUGAAAAACCUCCUCGCCGGAAGACCAAGGGUUCCUGUCCAACGUUAAUCGGGGCAGGGUAAGUCGACCCCUAAGGCGAGGCCGAAAGGCGUAGUCGAUGGGAAACGGGUUAAUAUUCCCGUACUUCUUACAAUUGCGAUGGGGGGACGGAGAAGGCUAGGUGGGCCUGGCGACGGUUGUCCAGGUUCAAGUGCGUAGGCUUAAGAGUUAGGUAAAUCCGGCUCUUUUUAAAGGCUGAGACACGACGUCGAGCACCUACGGGUGUGAAGUCAUUGAUGCCAUGCUUCCAGGAAAAGCCUCUAAGCUUCAGAUUGUAAGGAAUCGUACCCCAAACCGACACAGGUGGUCGGGUAGAGAAUACCAAGGCGCUUGAGAGAACUCGGGUGAAGGAACUAGGCAAAAUGGUACCGUAACUUCGGGAGAAGGUACGCUCUCGACGGUGAAGUCCCUUGCGGAUGGAGCUAUUGAGAGUCGCAGAUACCAGGUGGCUGCAACUGUUUAUUAAAAACACAGCACUGUGCAAAAUCGUAAGAUGACGUAUACGGUGUGACGCCUGCCCGGUGCCGGAAGGUUAAUUGAUGGGGUUAGACUUCGGUCGAAGCUCUUGAUCGAAGCCCCGGUAAACGGCGGCCGUAACUAUAACGGUCCUAAGGUAGCGAAAUUCCUUGUCGGGUAAGUUCCGACCUGCACGAAUGGCGUAAUGAUGGCCACGCUGUCUCCACCCGAGACUCAGUGAAAUUGAAAUCGCUGUGAAGAUGCAGUGUACCCGCGGCUAGACGGAAAGACCCCGUGAACCUUUACUACAGCUUGGCACUGAACAUUGACCCUACAUGUGUAGGAUAGGUGGGAGGCUUUGAAGCACGUACGCCAGUAUGUGUGGAGCCGUCCUUGAAAUACCACCCUUGUAGUGUUGAUGUUCUAACGUCGACCCCUUAUCGGGGUUGCGGACAGUGCCUGGUGGGUAGUUUGACUGGGGCGGUCUCCUCCCAAAGAGUAACGGAGGAGCACGAAGGUGGGCUAAUCACGGUUGGACAUCGUGAGGUUAGUGCAAUGGCAUAAGCCCGCUUGACUGCGAGAAUGACAAUUCGAGCAGGUGCGAAAGCAGGUCAUAGUGAUCCGGUGGUUCUGAAUGGAAGGGCCAUCGCUCAACGGAUAAAAGGUACUCCGGGGAUAAAGUUGGCAUACAGUAUCGACACCUUGAUGGGGCUAUAGCUCAGCUGGGAGAGCGCCUGCCUUGCACGCAGGAGGUCUGCGGUUCGAUCCCCGCAUAGCUCCACCAUCUUUAAGCGCAUUCGAUGAGUGCUUUUAAAAAUGGUUACUUCAUUAGAAGUGAUUAGCUCUUUAACAAUUUGGAAAGCUGACAAAACAACAAUUUAAUUGUUGUUUUGUAAAGUUCUCAAUGUUUGUCUUUAUGACAAACACCAAAAUAACACAUUCAAGUGUUCUUGGAAUUUGAGUCCGGCAAAAUCGAGUCUGCAUCAUGUAUAAAAAUUGCAGACAACUUUGGUGACUUGUUCAUCAACUCGAAACUCCUUCGGGUUGUAUGGUUAAGUGACUAAGCGUACACGGUGGAUGCCUUGGCAGUCAGAGGCGAUGAAAGACGUAGUAACUUGCGAUAAGCCCAGAUUAGGUAGUAACAACCAUUUGAGUCUGGGAUUUCUGAAUGGGGAAACCCACGUGCAUAAGCACGUAUCCUUACCUGAAUACAUAGGGUAAGGAGGCGAACCGGGGGAACUGAAACAUCUAAGUACCCCGAGGAAAAGAAAUCAACCGAGAUUCCGAAAGUAGCGGCGAGCGAAAUUGGACUAGCCCUUAAGCUUUACACGCGUUAGACGAACGGUCUGGAAAGUCCGACGAUACAGGGUGAUAGUCCCGUAGUUGACGACGUGUGUUCAGUGAAAUCGAGUAGGGCGGGACACGUGAUAUCCUGUCUGAAUAUGGGGGGACCAUCCUCCAAGGCUAAAUACUACUGACUGACCGAUAGUGAACCAGUACCGUGAGGGAAAGGCGAAAAGAACCCCUGUGAGGGGAGUGAAAUAGAACCUGAAACCGUGUACGUACAAGCAGUAGGAGCAGGCUUUGUCCUGUGACUGCGUACCUUUUGUAUAAUGGGUCAGCGACUUAUAUUCAGUGGCAAGGUUAACCAUCUAGGGGAGCCGUAGGGAAACCGAGUCUUAACUGGGCGUUCAGUCUCUGGAUAUAGACCCGAAACCAGGUGAUCUAGCCAUGGGCAGGUUGAAGGUUGAGUAACAUCAACUGGAGGACCGAACCGACUAAUGUUGAAAAAUUAGCGGAUGACUUGUGGCUAGGGGUGAAAGGCCAAUCAAACCUGGAGAUAGCUGGUUCUCCCCGAAAGCUAUUUAGGUAGCGCCUCGGACGAAUACUACUGGGGGUAGAGCACUGUUAAGGCUAGGGGGUCAUCCCGACUUACCAACCCUUUGCAAACUCCGAAUACCAGUAAGUACUAUCCGGGAGACACACGGCGGGUGCUAACGUCCGUCGUGGAGAGGGAAACAACCCAGACCGCCAGCUAAGGUCCCAAAUUACUACUAAGUGGGAAACGAUGUGGGAAGGCUCAGACAGCCAGGAUGUUGGCUUAGAAGCAGCCAUCAUUUAAAGAAAGCGUAAUAGCUCACUGGUCGAGUCGGCCUGCGCGGAAGAUGUAACGGGGCUAAGUAGUAAACCGAAGCUGCGGCAAUACUCUUUGAGUAUUGGGUAGGGGAGCGUUCUGUAAGCGGUUGAAGGUGUGUGGUAACGCAUGCUGGACGUAUCAGAAGUGCGAAUGCUGACAUGAGUAACGAUAAAGGGGGUGAAAAACCUCCUCGCCGGAAGACCAAGGGUUCCUGUCCAACGUUAAUCGGGGCAGGGUAAGUCGACCCCUAAGGCGAGGCCGAAAGGCGUAGUCGAUGGGAAACGGGUUAAUAUUCCCGUACUUCUUACAAUUGCGAUGGGGGGACGGAGAAGGCUAGGUGGGCCUGGCGACGGUUGUCCAGGUUCAAGUGCGUAGGCUUAAGAGUUAGGUAAAUCCGGCUCUUUUUAAGGCUGAGACACGACGUCGAGCACCUACGGGUGUGAAGUCAUUGAUGCCAUGCUUCCAGGAAAAGCCUCUAAGCUUCAGAUUGUAAGGAAUCGUACCCCAAACCGACACAGGUGGUCGGGUAGAGAAUACCAAGGCGCUUGAGAGAACUCGGGUGAAGGAACUAGGCAAAAUGGUACCGUAACUUCGGGAGAAGGUACGCUCUCGACGGUGAAGUCCCUUGCGGAUGGAGCUAUUGAGAGUCGCAGAUACCAGGUGGCUGCAACUGUUUAUUAAAAACACAGCACUGUGCAAAAUCGUAAGAUGACGUAUACGGUGUGACGCCUGCCCGGUGCCGGAAGGUUAAUUGAUGGGGUUAGACUUCGGUCGAAGCUCUUGAUCGAAGCCCCGGUAAACGGCGGCCGUAACUAUAACGGUCCUAAGGUAGCGAAAUUCCUUGUCGGGUAAGUUCCGACCUGCACGAAUGGCGUAAUGAUGGCCACGCUGUCUCCACCCGAGACUCAGUGAAAUUGAAAUCGCUGUGAAGAUGCAGUGUACCCGCGGCUAGACGGAAAGACCCCGUGAACCUUUACUACAGCUUGGCACUGAACAUUGACCCUACAUGUGUAGGAUAGGUGGGAGGCUUUGAAGCACGUACGCCAGUAUGUGUGGAGCCGUCCUUGAAAUACCACCCUUGUAGUGUUGAUGUUCUAACGUCGACCCCUAAUCGGGGUUGCGGACAGUGCCUGGUGGGUAGUUUGACUGGGGCGGUCUCCUCCCAAAGAGUAACGGAGGAGCACGAAGGUGGGCUAAUCACGGUUGGACAUCGUGAGGUUAGUGCAAUGGCAUAAGCCCGCUUGACUGCGAGAAUGACAAUUCGAGCAGGUGCGAAAGCAGGUCAUAGUGAUCCGGUGGUUCUGAAUGGAAGGGCCAUCGCUCAACGGAUAAAAGGUACUCCGGGGAUAACAGGCUGAUACCGCCCAAGAGUUCAUAUCGACGGCGGUGUUUGGCACCUCGAUGUCGGCUCAUCACAUCCUGGGGCUGAAGUCGGUCCCAAGGGUAUGGCUGUUCGCCAUUUAAAGUGGUACGCGAGCUGGGUUUAGAACGUCGUGAGACAGUUCGGUCCCUAUCUGCCGUGGGCGUUGGAAGAUUGAAGGGGGCUGCUCCUAGUACGAGAGGACCGGAGUGGACGAACCUCUGGUGUUCGGGUUGUGUCGCCAGACGCAUUGCCCGGUAGCUAAGUUCGGAAUCGAUAACCGCUGAAAGCAUCUAAGCGGGAAGCGAGCCCUGAGAUGAGUCUUCCCUGAUACUUUAAGUAUCCUAAAGGGUUGUCGGAGACUACGACGUUGAUAGGUCAGGUGUGUAAGUGCUGUGAGGCAUUGAGCUAACUGAUACUAAUUGCCCGUGAGGCUUAACCAU